AAAAGAGAAAACAAUAUUCUUCGAAGAAAUCCUAAUCUCAACAUGUCGAUUUGUCCUUGGCCAACCGUGGCGGAAACCUUUGCUUCAAUCACCUUGCAUACGCUCUGAAUCUCCGAAAAGUCACCUUACUCCAAACUCUGGUUCGUCAAAACUCAAAACUGUUAUCUAGGGUUUUGUGAAGAAGUAUGCCUAAUUGGUGAUGGAAAAGAGACUAAAUAUCCCGGCAGAGAGAGCACAUCAUAUGCUCUGCCUUAUUACAUAUUCCCCCCCAAAACCAACAGUAGUCAGAGCACAUCCAUGGCUAUGCUCUCGUAUGAAACAUCGUGCUUCCCGGGAGCACGGUGCAGUCUCCUACCGAAUUGACAUUCCUCCGUUCUAACCUGCUUCCGACUUCCGUUUAUGCUCCCCCUCAAUCCGAUGCGUAAUUUAACACCUGAAAAUACACAAAAAAUGCAGGAACAAUGUAAUAGAGCCUAGAGACAAAAUUACAUGCACAAGACACUGGAAUAUAAUCACAUAUACAAUAAAUUUCGUUUUAGACGGGUGAUUGCACCAAUAAUCAAGUAUCAAUCAUAAAGAUCAUGUCAGUGUUUGAACAAAUCAUAGAGAGGCUGGCUGACCUCCUAUUUAAUGCAGUCGUCGGCACGUCUUGGAACUUUGUAUAUAACGGACGCUUGUGAAACAAGUAAUAACUAGUUUCUAUGGAGUACUGGAGAAUCAACGUUGAGGAUCGGUCAACUUAC
rnacentral:lncRNA from 1 species